AGAGAGAGACAUGCGCGCAUAUCAAUAAGCGGAGGAAAAGAAACUAACUAGGAUUCCCUCAGUAACGGCGAGUGAAGCGGGAAGAGCUCAAAUUUGAAAUCUUCAAGGUUCUACCUUGACGAAUUGUAGUUUAAAGAAGUGUUUUCUGUUGGAGUUUUGGUAAAAGUUCUUUGGAAUAGGACAUCAUAGAGGGUGAGAAUCCCGUAUUUGACCAUUAUUUCCAGCUUUGUGAUACACUUUCAAAGAGUCGGAUUGUUUGGGAAUGCAGUCCAAAAUGGGUGGUAAAUUUCAUCUAAAGCUAAAUAUUGGCGAGAGACCGAUAGCGAACAAGUACCGUGAGGGAAAGAUGAAAAGAACUUUGAAAAGAGAGUUAAACAGUACGUGAAAUUGUCAAAAGGGAAGCGUUUGACACCAGUGUUGUUUUUCUCGAAAAUCAAUUAAAAAAGGCAGGAUUUUGUGUUGUAUUGACUUUAUCAGCUUUCUGCACUCUUUUCUUGUCUUUUUUAAUGCACUUUUCGUUUAACAAGUCAACAUCAAUUUCUUUUGUUGUAAAAGGGUCAUUGGAAGGUGGCUUUCUUUUCGGAGAAAGUGUUUAUAGCCUUUGGCCUCUGCAAUCGGAGAGAUUGAGGUCUGCAGCGUAGAUCCUUCGGGGUUAGAUACAUUUGUGCUAAGUUAUAGCCUUUCAUAGACAACUUGUUGACUAUGAUCAGUCAUGUAGCUUACUCGCUUAUGCUAUUUUACCUACGCUUAGGAUGUUGAUGUGAUACUGCGAGCA
rnacentral:rRNA from 1 species